UUGACCUCGGAUCAGGUAGGGAUACCCGCUGAACUUAAGCAUAUCAAUAAGCGGAGGAAAAGAAACCAACAGGGAUUGCCCUAGUAACGGCGAGUGAAGCGGCAACAGCUCAAAUUUGAAAUCUGGCUCUUUUAGAGUCCGAGUUGUAAUUUGCAGAGGGCGCUUUGGCUUUGGCAGCGGUCCAAGUUCCUUGGAACAGGACGUCACAGAGGGUGAGAAUCCCGUACGUGGUCGCUGGCUAUUGCCGUGUAAAGCCCCUUCGACGAGUCGAGUUGUUUGGGAAUGCAGCUCUAAAUGGGAGGUACAUUUCUUCUAAAGCUAAAUACUGGCCAGAGACCGAUAGCGCACAAGUAGAGUGAUCGAAAGAUGAAAAGCACUUUGGAAAGAGAGUCAAACAGCACGUGAAAUUGUUGAAAGGGAAGCGCUUGCAGCCAGACUUGCUUACAGUUGCUCAUCCGGGUUUUUACCCGGUGCACUCUUCUGUAGGCAGGCCAGCAUCAGUUUGGGCGGUAGGAUAAAGGUCUCUGUCACGUACCUCCUUUCGGGGAGGCCUUAUAGGGGAGACGACAUACUACCAGCCUGGACUGAGG
rnacentral:rRNA from 1 species